UUCUGCGUAUUCUUAGUGCACUGUCCUAUUACUGCUGGAUCACUUACGGCUGGUCGCCACUCACUGUGACCGCAACAAGAUGACGCCUCAGGGACUGGCGACAGCCUUUGGUCCGGUACUGAUGUGCCACGCAGAGACUCCCACUGCGACUGUUGACAUACGAAAACCCAUAGACAUCAUGAGUUUUUUGGUCAAAAUGUGGCCCAACAAGAGAAGCCCACGACUCUGGUACGACGCCUCCUGUGGCGAAGUCUACAGAAUGUAAUCACUCUCUGGCCCUCUGGUGAGAUGUUCCUCAGCUAAUGGAACCCUGCCUCAACCACAGGUUGGGCGUUUCGUCUUGGUCGAGUAGCAGCAGCAGUUGGGACAGCAGCGUCUUAUCCGAGCUGUUGGAGUCGUUGGACGGAGCCUGGUUAGGACACCGACUGCUUCCAGAGUCCUCUUGUUGACCAUGUGCCAUACUAAACCUAGUGAAUGUUGAUGCGCAUGGAAAGAAGUUCUUUGUUAAAUCCUUUCCCUCUAGUUGGACGUGUCAUUGUUUGAUAUUAAAUAAAAAAAAGUAUCUGCCCUGUU